UACGUAGGGGGCAAGCGUUGUCCGGAUUUAUUGGGCGUAAAGCGCUCGCAGGUGGUUUGUCGCGUCGUGCGUGAAAGACCCCGGCUCAACUGGGGAGGGUCGUGCGAUACGGGCGAACUGGAGGCCAGUAGGGGGAUGCGGAAUUCCGGGUGUAGUGGUGGAAUGCGUAGAGAUCCGGAGGAACACCAGCGGCGAAGGCGGCAUCCUGGACUGGUCCUGACACUCAGGAGCGAAAGCGUGGGGAGCGAUCCGC
rnacentral:rRNA from 1 species